rnacentral:rRNA from 1 species
CCUACGGGAGGCAGCAGUGGGGAAUAUUGCACAAUGGGGGAAACCCUGAUGCAGCGACGCCGCGUGAGUGAAGAAGUAAUUAGUUACGUAAAGCUCUAUCAGCAGGGAAGAAAAUGACGGUACCUGAGUAAGAAGCCCCGUCUAACUACGUGCCAGCAGCCGCGGUAAUACGUAGGGGGCAAGCGUUAUCCGGAUUUACUGGGUGUAAAGGGAGCGUAGACGGUGCGGCAAGUCUGAAGUGAAAUGCAGCGGCUCAACCCCGGGACUGCUUUGGAAACUGUAUAACUAGAGUGCAGGAGAGGUAAGCGGAAUUCCUAGUGUAGCGGUGAAAUGCGUAGAUAUUAGGAGGAACACCAGUGGCGAAGGCGGCUUACUGGACUGUAACUGACGUUGAGGCUCGAAAGCGUGGGGAGCAAACAGGAUUAGAUACCCGUGUAGUC